CCUACGGGUGGCAGCCGUGAGGAAUAUUGGUCAAUGGGCGCGAGCCUGAACCAGCCAAGUAGCGUGAAGGAUGACUGCCCUACGGUUUGUAAACUUCUUUUAUAAAGGAAUCAAGUGAGGCACGUGUGCCUUUUUGUAUGUACUUUCUGAAUAAGUAUCGGCUAACUCCGUGCCAGCAGCCGCGGUCAUACGGAGGAUCCGAGCGUUAUCCGGAUUUAUUGUGUUUAAAGGUAGCGUAGAUGGGUUGUUAAGUCAGUUGUGAAAGUUUGCGGCUCAACCGUAAAAUUGCAAUUGAUACUGGCAGUCUUGAGUACAGUUGAGGUAGGCGGAAUUCGUGGUGUAGCGGUGAAAUGCUUAGAUAUCACGAAGAACUCCGAUUGCGAAGGCAGCUUACUAAACUGCCACUGACAUUGAUGCUCGAAAGUGUGGGUAUCAAACAGGAUUAGAUACCCUUGUAGUC
rnacentral:rRNA from 1 species